rnacentral:lncRNA from 1 species
CUAAACUACAAGAACCAACAAACUUUAAAAUAGAAAUAGCUUUAUGAUAAAAGUAAAUAUUCAAACAGUAACAUUAUACAAGUAAAAAAUUGCAGCCAAAAAUGGGGCUAAGAACAAUUUUCAUAAAAAAAUCCUAAAUACAUAACAAAAAAUUUUGAAUUGAACUCGCAUUAGGUUUAUAGGACACCAUAGAAACAAUUUUCAUCUUCAAAUGUGAACUUUUCUGUUCAACCUUUGGCUUUUAUACUCGUUUCCUCUUCAAUGGCUCAGACUUACGAACACCACAUUCACCUUCUUCACCCAUGGAUAUGAUAAUAGAGGUUAAAAACAACAAAUAUUGAAGAAAUUACCUCAUAUGAUACAUAUUAGAAAUUACCUCACCUGCUAAGUGAAAUAAGUUAAACAGUACAAACUAUUCGGCAACUCAGAUUCUAGCUCAAUAGAAAAGUUCAGCAGCUCAACCAAAAAUAUUCACUCAAAUGAAAACAUAUACAUCAGUACAAGAUUAGAAUACUAACAAUCAACAACUAUACCCAAUGGCGGAUCUAGAAUUUAAGCUCAGCUAGGACGGUCGUUGACCGUUAAUCAAGC